rnacentral:rRNA from 1 species
CCUACGGGUGGCAGCAGUGAGGAAUAUUGGUCAAUGGACGAAAGUCUGAACCAGCCAAGUCGCGUGAAGGAUGACUGCCCUAUGGGUUGUAACCUUCUUUUAUAAAGGAAUAAAACGAGGCACGUGUGCCUUUUUGCAUGUACUUUAUGAAUAAGGAUCGGCUAACUCCGUUCCAGCAGCCGCGGUAAUACGGAGGAUUCGAGCGUUAGCCGGAUUUAUUGGGUUUAAAGGGAGCGUAGAUGGGUUGUUAAGUCAGUUGUGAAAGUCUGCGGCUCAACCGUAAAAUUGCAAUUGAUACUGGCAGUCUUGAGUACAGUUGAGGUAGGCGGAAUUCGUGGUGUAGCGGUGAAAUGCUUAGAUAUCACGAAGAACCCCGAUUGCGAAGGCAGCUUACUAAGCUGUGACUGACAUUGAUGCUCGAAAGUGUGGGGAGCAAACAGGAUUAGAUACCCUUGUAGUC